UUGCAUCCCCUUAUAUAUGAAGACCCAAUUUUGUAGCAUUGUGCUCUCAUCAUAUCAUAGUGAUACACCGCGGAGCAAAACAAAUACGUUUCCCAUCUCAAAUUUCAAUACCCUUUAGCCUCUUAAUUCAUUGUAACCUUAUUCUUCCUCCACUCCCUUUAACUAAUGGGACCUGGCGGACCAGGAGGGCCUGGAGGACCAGGAGGGUUUGGCGGACCUGGACCUGGUUUUGGUGGGCCUCCAGGUUUCGGUGGACCUGGUUGGGGUCCACCAGGACCGGGGGGCUUUUUUGGCGGAUUUGGUAAUGGCUUAUGCAGCCUCAUAUCUUCAUGGUAAGUUAUCAAAACCAACUUCAUUUUCUUUUUGGUUGUCAAGAAAAAAAAAACUUCAUAUUCUUUUUGAAAAAAGAAAGUUCUUUGAAGUAUUAUGUUGUUGUUCUUAAUUAUUGCAGCUUCUACUGCUUAUGCUGUUGCUGGUUGGUACGAGAUUGCUUCGGAGGUCCACCACCACCAGGUCCAGGCCCUUUUUAAACCAGUAAAGCUUAAGGUUCACUACAUGCUGCCUAAUUACUAGCCAUGUCCAUUGUUCUAUUUGGCUCUUGUGUGAUGAGUAUGACCAAAAAUAAAAUAAAUUUGUGGUUGUGUAAUCUCUCUUUCACUUUGUAACCAGAAAAAUUUG
rnacentral:lncRNA from 1 species